GGAAGGGAGGAGAACAAAUGUGGACACAGAACACAAGAGGACGCUAUGCUGGCCACUGUGCUCCAGGCUUCGUCGUCCCACAGAAGCGCAUAUGGUGGGCACUAACACCCAUCUUCCAGCUGAGGACGUGAGGGCUCAGAGGUCACACAGCUAAUAAGAGCUGGACUCAGAUCAAAGUGCCUUGUUCCUGAUCUCCGUCCUGAACUCCUUUCAGGGUGUGUUAAAGGUCAGCGACUGCAGUGGCUAGAGACUUCAUUCUUGGAGAACCAGAUGGGUCCUAAUGAAUAGCAGGGAGGACCUUAGUGUCCAAGGGCAAUGUGUGCUGUGCAAAGAAGAAGAACAAAGUGAAGAAAGUGGUAGGAGCACCCAGAGGAGAAGCAUGCAGGGAUCUUGGUUCCCUGACCAGGGAUUGAACCUGAGCCCCCUGCAGUGGAAGCGUGGAGUUGUAACCACUGGACCGCCAGGGAAGUCCCUAUGAUUCUUUGUUCUUAAGAUCUCUAUGACAGAUUCUUAAGAGUUCUGAAUUCUGCUCCUGACCCCCAUCCUUUCUCUUCUCUCUCUGUUUCACAGCCCAAAUUCUUGUCAACUGGAAAGUGCUUGCACUUUCCUCUCUGGUACACAUAAUCCCUGGUUCUGAUUCCAUCACAAACACUCCCCAUGCCUGUCCUGCCUGCUUUGCAGGGGCUGGGCCUGGAGGAAGAGUACAGGAUCUGUUUUGUUCUUAGAGUCAGGAUCGGAGCAGAGGGGCCAAGAAAGGAACUUUAAGCCAUAAGGUCCAGACCACAUGAUGGGGGUGAUGGAAACCAGGGCCCGGAGACAGCCAGAGUCAUGGGGGGCCACACCCAUCACACCAUCAGCUCCUCCCUGAGCUAUUUUCAAAUGGCCAAGAAUACUGAGAUGUUAUUGACUAAAAAGUACUAUAAGAAACAAAAACUUGGGACUUCCCUGGUGGCACAAUGGUUAAGAAUCCAGCUGCCAGUGCAGGGGACAUGGGUUCGAUCCCUGGUGCAGGAGGAUCCCACAUGCCGCGGAACAGCUAAGCCCGUGAGCCACAACUACUGAGCCUGCGCUCUAGAGCCCACGAGACACAAGUACUGAAGCCCGAGCACCCUAGGGCCUGUGUGCCACAACUACUGAGCCUGCGUGCUGCAACUACUGAAGCCCGUGUGCCUAGAGCCCGUGCUCCACAACAAGAGAAGCCACCGUAAUGAGAAGCCCGCGCACUGCAACAAAGAGUAGCCCCUGCUCACCGCAACUAGAGGAAGCCCGCGCACAGCAGCAAAGACCCAACACAGUCAAAAAUAAACAAACAAAUAAAUAAAUAAAAAUAAAAAUAAAGAAGCAAAUAUUUGAGUGUCAUGGCUAGAUGCUGGAAAUACUGAAAGAGCUCUGGACUAGUUAUCAGGAGGCCUGGCUUCCAGGCUUGGCUCUUCCACUAACCAGUGGUGUGGCCUUGGGCAAACUGACAUGCCUCUCUGGGCUUCUUGUUUCUCAUGUGUUUUAUGGGUUAAUCAGCUGCUUGCCCAUCCUCACAGGAUUUCUGUGAAGCUAAAACAAGAGAACAACAGUGCUUUACAAAUGACAAUGCAGUGUAAAGAUGCAAGGGAUCACUGUUGUUGCACUGACCUAGAUCCAAACAGCCCAAAGCUCCAGGUUCCCUGCCCUGGUGAUAAAUAACAGCAUGAAAGACUUUAUUCACUCUCAUCUACCAUAUCAGGACUCAUUCCCUGGAAGGGAUUUGGGAAGUGGGAAAACAGAGCCUGUCCUCGGGUUGCUUCCAACCCCACGUGCUAGCUCUUUGGAGUAUUGUGCCAGGAGUUGGGAGCUUAAGCUCUGGACCCCACCCUACUGUAAACAAGCUGUGUGCCCCACGAGACUCUUCACCUCUCUGUGCCUUGGCUGGCUCUAAAACUCUGAUGCCACAUCAUCAGCUUGAAUGCAGGGAGUUGGAUUAGCUCUGGGAUCUGGGGAUGGAGGGAAGUGGAAAAAUAUGCCUACUAAUUGCCAGGUCCUUUCCAUGUCAUCUGUCUCCUUUCGUUUGUUCAGCCCCUGACUGUGCCAAGCUCUGUGCCAGAGGCUGGGACCAGCUGUAAUAAUCAAGACAGACCUGGCUUUCUGGGGAUUCUGGUGAAGCAGGAGAGACAAGCAUAAAGCAAAUGUUCACACAAAUAUAGAAUGAAAACUGUGGGAAAGGAUAAGAAGGGACAUGACUAUUGGGAGGACCAUACCAGCCUAUUGUGGAGUUGAACUUGACAAAUAACAAGAAGAUGGCCGGCUUUCUGGGGACAAAGGGAACAUGCCAAGGGAAUAAGUGUGAAGGCCCUUAGGUUGAAAGGAGCAUGGCAUGGCCAGAGAUGGAGGGAGACAGCAAGUACGACCAAGGAGUUGUGAGCAUGGGGCAGACCGUUGCUUGCGUGGUUGCCCAGCGGCUGGCCAAGCCCUUUCUUACAGGCCAUGGUCAGAAGCAGAGGUCUUGAUCCAAUCUGGAAUAUGAGCUCCACUGAUCUAGGUUUUUGGAAUACAAUUAGAAUUUCUUGUUCUCUGGACAAUCUGACUGAUCACAGUCAACAAAUUCAAUAAACAUUCACUGUCCUCUGCCCUAGAAAAACAGGACAAAAACAAAGACUUUGUCCCUGCCCCUCGGGUUGCCAUCCGGAGGACAGGCUGGGGAGAGGGCAGCAGGUGCGCACUUGAUUAAAUAACUGUAAAGCAAGAGAGACCAAGAUGAGUGCCACAAAAGAGGUGCAAGGGCUAAGAUUCAACGACCAGAGCUGACAGGUACAGAAACUUGUCACGUUAGUGGCCACAUCUUUGAAACGCUUGUCACACCCGUUGGGAGGGUUUCCAGGAAAAAGUAUAAUUUCAGCUGAGCCUUGGAAAAUGAUAGGACAUUAUUUUUAAUAUUUUUGUUCAAAUUUUAAAAUAAUAUAGGCUCCUUAAAGAAAAUUUGGGAAAUGCAAAAAUGAGUGAAAAAUAAUUAUAACCACGCUUAAUCCGGAGAAACCACCAUAAACAUUUUAGUGAGUAACCGUCAAGGCUUCUUACCUACAUUUAACAACGUUGAAAUCGUCGUGUAGAUAUAAUUUGGCAGCAGUCUCUUUUUUUCAC